UACGUAGGCAGCGAGCGUUGUUCGGAGUUACUGGGCGUAAAGAGUGCGUAGGCGGUUUUCUAAGUUUGGUGUGAAAUCUCCCGGCUCAACUGGGAGGGUGCGCCGAAGACUGGAAGGCUUGAGUAUGGGAGAGGUAAGCGGAAUUCCUGGUGUAGCGGUGAAAUGCGUAGAUAUCUGGAGGAACACCGGUGGCGAAGGCGGCAUCCUGGACCAACACUGACGCUGAGGAGCGAAAGCCAGGGGAGCAAACGGG
rnacentral:rRNA from 1 species